rnacentral:hammerhead_ribozyme from 15 species
CCCGCGUCUAAGGUAGGCUUCCACUACAAUACCUUACUGAUGAGUCCAGUAGUGGAAGCCGGGACGAAACGCCAA